ACCGAUACAAUAACUUAAAAGUUACAUUCAACAAAUUCUUAGUUUGUAAAGGAAACCAAAUAAAACAGUAAAAUGAAGUAAUGUAUGCUAAGGGUAUUACAGAAAGAUAUUACAAGAGGCCAGGAAAGAUAACUCUUCCUCUGUCCUCUUUUACGUCCCACUUCUUGUUUCCCCUUUCUUCCUCUUACUUGGCUUGUUUCAUUUUUACACUGGGUACAUUUUCUGUCUCAGUCUGACUUUGCUCUCUUUCAUCUUCCUUGUAACUGCUUUCCUUUAGUUAGACCUUGUCUUCCCCUCAACUUUCCCCUGAAAGUUUUCCCUCUUGGAACUUUCUCUCGGUCUGUCCCUCUGAAUAAUCCUCAUGAAUUCAUCUGAAUUUAGGUUUUAGAGUAGAAUGUUCUGGAUGAAAUCCAGCUUGCUUCAGAGAACUGCAAUAGGAAGAACAAUUCCAACUACAGGUCCUGCUGACUACCAUGCUCUAAACUUUCCAGGUUUCCCAUGAUUUUCUCUUAGCACAAGAUCCUUCCCAAUUACCCUCAUUUUCCUUUUUUCUAUCAAGUCUUCUCUCCUCCAACAUAACCACACACCUUGUGGCUCUUUCAGAGCACUCAUCACAUUUUACCCGGGUUUUAUCACUUUUUGUGUUAUUUUACCUUUGAGUUGUAAAUUUUCAGGGAAGGUGUAUAAAUUAUUCAUAUGCAAAAAUGUCUUACACAAAGCUGUGCACAUUGAAAGUUACUGAAUUAACCUAUUAAUUAACACACUAUUAAGUUCCAUUUUAGUAGAUCUUUAAGAUCAUAAAAUCUUUCUUCCAAAAGCAUUUUCUAUUACAUUUUUUGAAAUUGGUGAGCACCAAAUAAUUGAGUUAAAACUCAAUCUGUAAACCCUAUAAAACACAGAACUCAUCUGGAUUAGAAAGAACCUAUAGAAUUAAAAUAAUUGUGUUUAAAACCUUCUUGUGGUCCUUUGACCAAGUCAAACUUAACUGUUGCCCACAACAGAAUAUGAAAUUAUUUCACAUUUUAAUUCAUCAAAAUAACAAAUUCAGCAUUUUGGACAUUGUUACUCAUUCCAGAUACAAGUUCUGAACAGAAAGUCCAAGGUAAGGACAUUACUAUUCUAUGUUUAUCCAUUCAUGAACAUAAGUUAUACAUUAAGGUUUCAGUAGGGUUUGGGGAGGAUAAAAUAUAAACAGAUUGGUAUCUGUGAUAACAGAAAUAGUGACAUCAUUACACUAGGAAACCAAAAUGAGUUUGGAUCUUAGCCUCCUCAAGCAAGCACAAAAUUUUAAUAUUGAAUUCUAUAAUAAACAUAGUCCUGUCUCCCUCUGUGUAUUUCUCAUUCGGAGUGUUUGCUCCAGGUGUUUCCUAAUAUCGAGAACAUCAAUGAAAGUUCUUUAUCAUUUUGUCCCUUAAAAUCUUCAAGUGUUUGGGGGAAAAAAAAUGACUUUAAAGGACUUCAAAAUGUGUAUGUGUGUGUGGUUUGUGUAUUUUCCUCAUAGGCUCAAGAAUAAAACUAAAAAUAAACACAGUCCAGGGGAGGCAAGCUGAUUUUAGAAUAAGGCAAUAAGGCUCAGAUAAUCGUUGUGUUGUUAGAAGGGGUGUGCCCACUGGCACAGAAUCUCACAGGGAGAGGUUAGACAUCCAGGAUGUUUACGAGUAAAAGUAGAAGGUGGAAAAAGUAGAACACACAAGGCCCAGUGUCCUGAGAGCCUGGCCAGGGCCCAGUCCAAAAUAAUUACUACUGAUGAAGGAGCCGUUUUGUUCCAAACUGUGUCCUGCUUUAAAUAAUAAAUUUAAUCAUCAUCAUUAUUAUAAAGCAAUUCAUCUAAAUAUGAAAUAUGCCAUAUAAAGCUAUUUACUUAUAUUGACAAUAUCUGUAUUUUUUCCCCCUGUUUUCAUCCAAGGUCAUUAGCAUCCUAAUCAACAGGAAUUUUUGUUAACCAAAUUUGUGAGCAGCCAGGUGCAGGCAGGAUCCUUAUUUAAGCAGCCAGAACAUUACUUGCUGCAGUUAAUAGAGAAAUAUAAGCUGAUGCCCAAGGGCAAGAAAUAAAAAUUAAAUUAAGAAAUUUAAAGGACUUCUCAGCUGCAGCGAAUGCCCACAAACUUGUUUGACUUCAUCUGCUCGCUGACAGGGAAACCAGGACUGAACUUGUCAGAAGGUGAGAGGAACUCGGCCAGGGCGGGGCGCGCAGUGGCCUUGAGCGAGAGUGGAGUUUGGAGAGAGGAAGAUAAAAGAAGGAGAAGCUAGAGGAACCGGCCCCGAAGCCUGGGAGACAGACAUGACAAAGGUCAAAGCCAGUGGGGUAAGAUUGCUCCGACUUUGCAACGCCGGGCGCUCGCAGCGGCAUUUGCAGGAGAGUUCUGAUCUCCCUGUUGCUCUGUAUUUCGCUUGGCAUAAAGAUAGAUCUAUGCCAUUGGAAAUGCAGCUUGAGAAACCUAAACCUAUAAAGCCAGUCACAUUUUCUCCACAGGCAUCAAAAUGAAUCCAAGCUGAUGCUAGAAUCCAACUGAUGCUCUCAGAAGGAAGUGCACAGCAGAUGAACACUGAAGAGAGAGUUCAGGAAGCCUUAUGUUGUUUUGGUUCACCAACUGCCUAACUGAACAAAGAGAAAUGUGAGACCAAAAUUUCCUGAGUUAAGUUCUGUAAAUGGUGAGGCAUACCUGAUGUAUCACUCCUGGAACCAGAAACUUGGCUACAAGUGGUAGAUGUCAGCUUUCAAUCCUCUUAUCUCACCAUAGAGAUAUUCAUCUAAAACCAACCUCAUAACUCCUUGAUAACAAAAAGGAAAAGUCAACUAUGAUAUGGAGUAAAACCUAUGCUAUGCUGUGUCAGCCAAAUUGAUUUGGUGUUAUUUAUAAAAAGUAUACACAUGCCACUGCAAGCUGACACUCAUUGUGAGUGUUUUGGUGUGUUAUCUUUUAAUAAAUGCUAUGAAUAUUAAAUUUCUAA